rnacentral:rRNA from 1 species
GAUCAUGUGUGAUAGCCGGCAGGCGUUGCAUGGUCGGGGUUGCGGGACUUUUCAGCAGCUUCUGCCGAACUGCAAGCGUUACAGAGGAUCAUAGGCGAAUGGCAUUGAAAGGCCAGUCACAGAGGGUGCCAACCCCGUAGCCGAAAUGGUCCAAUGGCGCGAAGAGUAUCCCAAGUAGCACGGGGCCCGAGAAAUCCCGUGUGAAUCUGUCAGGACCACCUGAUAAGCCUAAAUACUCCCAGAUGACCGAUAGCGGACAAGUACCGUGAGGGAAAGGUGAAAAGUACCCCGGGAGGGGAGUGAAAUAGUACCUGAAACCGUUUGCUUACAAACCGUUGGAGCCUCCUUGUAGGGGUGACAGCGUGCCUUUUGAAGAAUGAGCCUGCGAGUUAGCGAUAUGUGGCGAGGUUAACCCGUGAGGGGUAGCCGUAGCGAAAGCGAGUCUGAAUAGGGCGAUUCAGUCGCAUGUCCUAGACCCGAAGCGAAGUGAUCUAUCCAUGGCCAGGUUGAAGCGACGGUAAGACGUCGUGGAGGACCGAACCCACUUAGGUUGAAAACUGAGGGGAUGAGCUGUGGAUAGGGGUGAAAGGCCAAUCAAACUUCGUGAUAGCUGGUUCUCUCCGAAAUGCAUUUAGGUGCAGCGUUGCGUGUUUCUUGCCGGAGGUAGAGCUACUGGAUGGCCGAUGGGCCCCAAAAGGUUACUGACGUCAGCCAAACUCCGAAUGCCGGUAAGUGAGAGCGCAGCAGUGAGACGGUGGGGGAUAAGCUUCAUCGUCGAGAGGGAAACAACCCAGACCACCAACUAAGGUCCCUAAGCGCGUGCUAAGUGGGAAAGGAUGUGGAGUUGCACAGACAACCAGGAGGUUGGCUUAGAAGCAGCCACCCUUGAAAGAGUGCGUAAUAGCUCACUGGUCAAGUGAUUCCGCGCCGACAAUGUAACGGGGCUCAAGCACGCCACCGAAGUUGUGGCAUUGACAUUAUUGGUAGGCCUUCGUGGUCCAGCCGUGUUGAUGGGUAGGAGAGCGUCGUGUGGCGAGUGAAGCGGCGGUGUAAACCAGCCGUGGACGCUACACGAGUGAGAAUGCAGGCAUGAGUAGCGAAAGACGGGUGAGAAACCCGUCCUCCGAAAGACCAAGGGUUCCAGGGCCAGGCUAAUCCGCCCUGGGUAAGUCGGGACCUAAGGCGAGGCCGACAGGCGUAGUCGAUGGACAACGGGUUGAUAUUCCCGUAC